rnacentral:lncRNA from 1 species
ACUACAGCUCCUAUUAAUGUGAAAACAGGAAAAGAAGUAAAAAUUGCACAAAAUGGCAUUGAAACUUUGGCGUGGGAACCUCACUUUAGCAGCCAGAAGAUACCUGGAUAACUUCCAACUUUGUGAGCCCCUAAAUGAUGCAGCGAGGAACAGCUUGAUGGAGUCUCGCUCUGUCACCCAGGCUGGAGUGCCAUGGUAUGAUCUCAGCUCACUGCAACCUCCGCCUCCCAGGUUCAAGUGAUUCUCCUGUCUCAGCCCCCCGAGUAGCUGGGACUACAGGCAUACACCACCAUGUCUGGCUAAUUUUUGUAUUUUUAGUAGACACGAGGUUUCACCAUGUUGGUUAGGCUAGUCUCAAACUCCUGAUCUACCCGCCUCGGACUCCCAAAGUACUGGGAUUACAGGUGUGAACCAAUGCACCCGGCCCCUAAUCUCAGUUUCUUCUCUUUGCUUACAAAUUGAGCUUAUUCAAGGUUUUUAGGUUUCUGCUUAGUCACUAUGAAGAAAGCAGAAAUGCCAACUCAAUGGCUUCCAAUUUUUUAAACCAUAGCCUCACAGUAUGCAAUAUAUUUUACAUGAUUUAGUACAUAUCUCUACAUGUGAUUGUGUGUACUUCAUAGAUAUAUAUUUAUGUAUGUAUAUAUACACACACACACAUACACACACACAAACAGGAUUCACUAUUGUUUUCUGUGAUGGAAUAUAUUUUUAAAUUUUUUUCAUAAGAAAUGCAGCACAGUGAAAUACUACUACAAACCUAUCAUAGUGGCUAAAUUUUUAAAAAAAUGACAAAACUGAUAACAUAUACCAAGUAUUGGGGAGGAUGUGAAACUACUGGAACUUUCAUACAUUGCUUGGGAAAGUGCAAAACGCUACAGUAUGAGAAGUGUCUGUUCAUAUCCUUCGCCCACUUUUUGAUGGGGUUGUUUGUUUUUUUCUUGUAAAUUUGUU